UACAGAGGCCUCGAGCGUUAGGCGGAAUCGCUGGGCUUAAAGCGUGUGUAGGCGGACUUCUAAGUACCUUGUGAAAUCCCACGGCUCACCCGUGGAACUGCUUGGUAUACUGGUUGUCUUGAGCCUUCUAGGGGCGAGUGGAACAAAUGGUGGAGCGGUGAAAUGCGUAGAUAUCAUUUGGAACGCCAAUGGUGAAAACAACUCGCUGGGGAAGUGCUGACGCUGAGACACGAAAGCCAGGGGAGCGAACGGG
rnacentral:rRNA from 1 species